UACGUAGGGGGGCGAGCGUUGUCCGGAAUUAUUGGGCGUAAAGAGCUCGUAGGCGGCUUGGCAAGUCGGGAUGUGAAAACUCCAGGCUCAACCUGGAGCCGCCAUUCGAUACUGCUAUGGCUAGAGUCCGGUAGGGGAGUGUGGAAUUCCCGGUGUAGCGGUGAAAUGCGCAGAUAUCGGGAGGAACGACCGAUGGCGAAGGCAGCACUCUGGGCCGGCACUGACGCGUGAGGAGCGAAAGCGUGGGGAGCGACGAGG
rnacentral:rRNA from 1 species